rfam:Daphnia magna strain Xinb3 contig29486, whole genome shotgun sequence.
UGACUCAUGGCUCUGUGGUUGAGCAUCGGCCAGGGAUGCUGGAAAGUGAAGGUUCGAUUCCUUACCGAGUCUU